GACUUGUACCCCAUCCCCUUUGGACCAACACAUUGGUUCUUAAAAAAAAAAAAACCCAAGGCGGGUGGUUAGGGCUGUCAGGUGGUUCCCUUCGGCUGUGGGGACUCUAAAGAUUAACCUUGCACUUUCUGCAGUUGUAGGGGGGCUGCUGCCUUGGUUCGUAAUCAGGGUGGCAGUCUUUGCUAUGGGGUGGUGUGGUCUGGGUCUGGGGAUGUAAUCCGGGGGUUGUUUCGAGUUCUGUUUUCUGGCUUGGAGUGGUGCCUGGCGGGGGGUUAUAGGGAUAUACUUGUGGAGUCCUUAGUGGUUGAGAUGGGAGGGUACUUUGAUAGGACUAUGACUGCGCCGUGGGUUCUGGAUGAUGUUGUGGCUAGGCUCCGGUUCUUGUGCUCCUGCGGGACUGUUUCCUUUGUUCUGAGCCCGUCGCGGGCUAAUAUGCCUACCUCGGCCCUUGCUGACUGGGUGGUUGAUAAGCCAAGGGAGUUUACCUUUCUUUCUCUUUUGGAGCUACCACUGAGGGUGCGGGCGCUUUUGAUUCAUGAUGAUCUGCCUUAUGUGUUCUUUGAUGUUGAGGAUCCCCCGUAACUUAGCACUGUGCUUUUGCUAUUUGUUUUUGUUUUCUUGUUUGGCAUAGUUUUUCUUGUUGUAUUUGGCUCUUAGUCUACACUGUCUCGAUUAUGAUCUUGAUCUUGAAAAAAGGAAAAAUGAAAAAGGAAAAAAAAAGGAAAAAAAGAAGAGAAAUAGAAAGAAAGAAAAGAAAGAAAAAAAUGAAAAAGAAAAAAAACAAAGAAAGAGAAAUUGAUAAAAAUGAAGAAAGAAAAAAGAGGUGAGAAAAAAGGAAAGAAAAAGAAGGCGUUUGGUUUGUCUGGAGGCGAUGAUGGCUUGGGUCACCAAGUCUAGCCUCAGCAACGCAGGUGCAAGCGGUACAAGAUGCACCCUGGUCCGGGCUGAACGGUGGCCGGGCAUGAUUUUUUCAAAUCCGUUGACCUGGUCAGGCUUGCUGCUGGCCUAUAGUGGCUGAAUCCCUUCUGGGUUCUGGUGGGGGGUUUAAUUUUUUGGGGGGUGCUAUUGUUCGUGUCUCUGUAUAGCCUUUGUUUCUUUUCUUCCUGCUCCUAUGUUGUUUUCUUCCUUUUUCUUUUCAGAUAAAAGCUGGGAGCGUGAGUUCUUUGUUUCUGCACGCUUCCUUUACUUUCCUUUGACUUCUGAGGCUUAUAUGACCUGCUGGUUCUAUUGGUUUGUCCCUUGUGGGUUUCUUUUUGAACAGGUCAUGCCUUAACGUAGGUGCUUGCGGUAAAAAGUUGCACCCUUGCGGUAAAAAGUUGCACCCUGACUCGGGUUGAACGGUGGCCGGGACAGUGCAUGGUAAACGUUAUGGGCAGGCUGCUUGGUUAAGUUGUUCUAGUGUCUAGCUGUUCUACUUUAGUCAUUUGUAGCUGUUAUGGAGGUUCUACUUGCUAGUCCCGGAAAUAGUUGUGGUGCUACCGAAGUUUGACAGAAAGGCAUGUUUGUUUCGCCCGACUCAUACUGCUCGUUGCUGAAGGGUGGUACGGGACUUGGAGUUUAAUUCUAGUUUUGUAUUCCUUUAGUUUCUGUAGUCAGUUGUAGUUGGCCUUUUCAUUUUGUAGCUCUUGGCCUUUCAUUGUAAUUUAUUUCUAUCUUUGUAUAGGCAUUAGGCUUAAUGUGGUCUUUUGCCUUACAACUUUGUAUGGGCUUUGCCCUUUGUUUCUUAACAAUAAUAAAAGUAUUCCUUUGUUAAAAAAAAA